rnacentral:rRNA from 1 species
UUGACGGGACCGCACAAGCGGUGGAUGAUGUGGUUAAUUCGAUGCAACGCGAAAACCUUACCCACCUUUGACAUGUACGGAAUCCUUUAGAGAUAGAGGAGUGCUCGAAAGAGAACCGUAACACAGGUGCUGCAUGGCUGUCGUCAGCUCGUGUCGUGAGAUGUUGGGUUAAGUCCCGCAACGAGCGCAACCCUUGUCAUUAGUUGCUACAUUCAGUUGGGCACUCUAAUGAGACUGCCGGUGACAAACCGGAGGAAGGUGGGGAUGACGUCAAGUCCUCAUGGCCCUUAUAGGUGGGGCUACACACGUCAUACAAUGGAUGGUACAAAGGGUCGCCAACCCGCGAGGGGGAGCCAAUCCCAUAAAGCCAUUCGUAGUCCGGAUCGCAGUCUGCAACUCGACUGCGUGAAGUCGGAAUCGCUAGUAAUCGUGGAUCAGAAUGUCACGGUGAAUACGUUCCCGGGUCUU